AUGUGGAUUUUCAGGCCUGCACCACGACAGCUCACCGCGGAAGCCUCUGCCUCGCCGGAGCGCCCUGUGGGUCCCCAGCCACGAAGUGAAAUUCUCUCACUGCCCUUGUGGACGGGACGAACCCUCACCCCCACCAGCGACGUCACCGUUCCCACAGUGACUAAUGCACUCCCAGCGCAGAGUGCAGAUGGUGGUUUAGAACAGACGCGGCCGUGGAACCAAUGCUGUGGUGAGGGAGCAGGUGUGCACCGCGGCGCCCCCUGGGGGCAGCAGCAGGGAGCGGGACUUUCGCUCCUCAGACUGUGGGACCGUCCUCUCCCACAGCUGGUCUGGCCUAGGGCAGCACAGCUGAUGAAGAGUGGCCUGGAACGGCUGUGGAGACCGGGCAGCAGGUGGACAAGCGUCGCUGUGGGACAGCAGCAGGAUGCUGACCCUUGCGGCUCGAGGCUGGCGACAGCUGUGUCUGCUCCUUCGUUCCGAUGCGCGCCUGUUUGCGCUGGGCUCCAGCGCAGAGAAUUCGUGGCGCCAAUCUCCAUCGCGCUCCAUCCUGCAGCACGGAUUUCUGGGUUUGCUAGCCCACUCCCACGGAGAGAGCGGCGGCAGGACACCAAGACUCACGACAGACGACGCAGCUUUAGGGCCAGCGAAGGCACGGGGAGCACGGAGCGCUCCGCCCAGGUGGGGCACAGGCAGCAGGGGCGGGGCGGCAGAGCCCGCGUUUCCCGCAGCUGCUCCGGGCUCUGUCUGAGGACACGGCCUGUGCGCUGCGGGGACCUCGCACUCUCGCGGCACCGUGGUUUCCUCGUGCGAGCGGGACCCGGCCUCCUGGUCUUACUCCCCGCAGCAGAGCGGGAAUGGAAGGGCUCCGUGAGCCAGGUGACGCCUGUGCGGUGUGCAGAGGCCCGGCUCCACGGUGCUGCCCUGCCUGCCCCAAGCUGCACCCCAGAACUGCACAAGCGCCCCCAGCACUGCCCUACCCGGCUGGGACGAGCGGGGCGAGAGCACACGGCAAAGCGCUAUUUGUCCUGGACUCCGAAGGGCGCCGGGUGCCCACAGCACAAGCCUGGCCUCCCGUGGAUGGGUUCUGACACUCAGUGUGCCCUGGCUGUCCACGGUGCAACCAGUGACCCCCUAACAGACACUCAGCCCAGCAGCUGCUCUGGGCGCUGUGGAUCCGGGCAGGGUCUGGCCGCCAUGGCUGUCACCUGGCAGGUGGAGGCUGCGUCCCCCUCCCCACCCUUCCGGCCACUGCCCCAGUCACCUCGGAGCAUAGCCCCCAAGGUUCCGCUUUCCCACGCCUCCCGCGUGUGCGGGAGCAGAGGAAGUGGUGCCGCGGUGGCGGCUCCUGUUCGACAGAGGCGCUCGCUCAUGGUGGGAACCGGCACAGCCGACUGGCCCGGCGGCAGAGGACGGAAGAAGGAAAAUACGCGGACUUUGGCAUCCGAGGGGUCUCGGGUCAAACUCCAGCUCUGUCACCUGUUGACCACGCCAGGGACCCACUUCUCUCAGCUGCCGCGUGGACACCCCAGUCCCUGUGUCAGAGGCGGGGCCGGCAUGCACCCAAUAGCGUGAGGACAUUUAAGGGGCUGCACUUCUGUAGAAGCCUAGAAAUGCGAAGUCAUAAUCACAUCUCUUUAGCAUUCCGUGUUUUAGACGCUAUGCGAAGCUCUUAGGAGACAACGUGAAAACCCGCGUUCCCGUCCUCAGUGGCGGGGGUGUGGUCUGUGCAAUGCCACGGUGCACCAAGCCUGGCCCUGAGCGGCCUGCACACACCCGGGGGGACCCGGCCAGCAGGGCUGUGGGCGGUGACAUCCUGUGGGUGAGAAUGUGCAGUGUCCCACCUCGACCUGGAACCCUGGAGUUUGCGUGUGGUCAUGCAUCACAGGGAACCAGUGCUCAGAAGUGAAAAGGGUGUGUGUGUGUGUGUGUAAAAUUUCCAGGUCUCAAAAACCAUAAGAAAAAAAGUUUUAAAAAAAUUUUAACAAUUUUGGGGACAAAAAAUUAGAAAUUUGGAUAAUCUUAACACACUUGAGAUAAAUUUUUAAAGAAAUCUUUGAAGACUGGCUCAUUUAGAAAUAUAAAAAUAGAUGCUUUUAAUGUAAAAGCUCCUUUAUCCAUAUAUCAAAUUUUGGCAAUAAUUUCAGAUCCAGAGAACAGUUGCAAAAAUAGAACUUAGAAUUUCUUUUUAUAAAAUGAUUUAUUAAAAGCAGAGUUACAGAGAGAGACUGAGAGAGAGAAUCGUCCAUCCUCUGGUUCACUCCCCAGAUGGCCGCAACAGCUCAACAGCUCGGGCUGGGCCAGACCCAAGUCCAGAGCCAGGAGCUUCCUCCAGGUGGUGCAGGGACCUAAGCACUCCGGCCAUCCUCGGCUGCUUUCCCAGGCAAAUUAGCAGGGAGCUGGAUGGGAAGUGGAGCAGCCAGGUCUCGAACCAGCGCCAUGUGGGAUGCUGGCAUCACCGGUGGUGGUUUAACCUGCUGAGCCACAGCACCGGCCCCGGGAACUCAGGAUUUCUGUGCAGCCUUCCCCAUGUUUCCUCGAGAGCCAGCAUCAAGCGUGUCUGCUCUGUUCUCUC
ensembl:lncRNA